rnacentral:lncRNA from 1 species
UGGAGGGUUUUUGGAAAACUUAGAAUGAUUAGAAUUUCGAAAACUAGAGACUCUGGGAGACUUAGACUUUGAGAAGUAAACUCAUAACUUGACUAAUUCAAUUCGAAACGUUUUUACUAAACGAAUAAUCAUAGGAGAACUAAAGGGGAAAAUAUUUACGAAAGACGGGGAAAAGUCGGCUUUUGUUGUGGGUUUGGAGAGUUUUGGAAUUGGGGAAAGCCACUAAGGUGAGCUAUGGUGAUGAUUGAAAGUCACCGAGUACUCUAGUACUCUUGGGAGUGUUGUUCGAGUCGUGCUGUAUUGACCGGCACAGACUCUGG